GGUUGAAGCCCAGUGGUAGAGCAUUUGCCUAGCAUGCAUGAGGCACUGGGUUUGAUCCUCAGCACCA
rnacentral:tRNA from 1 species